UACGGAGGGUGCAAGCGUUAUCCGGAUUCACUGGGUUUAAAGGGUGCGUAGGUGGGUUGGUAAGUCCGUGGUGAAAUCUCCGAGCUUAACUCGGAAACUGCCGUGGAUACUAUCAAUCUUGAAUACUGUGGAGGUAAGCGGAAUAUGUCAUGUAGCGGUGAAAUGCUUAGAUAUGUCACAGAACACCAAUUGCGAAGGCAGCUUACUAUGGUUUAAUUUGACGCUGAGGCACGAAAGCGUGGGGAUCAAACAGG
rnacentral:rRNA from 1 species